rnacentral:lncRNA from 1 species
CGCCUCUCCGGGCCAAUGGCGGCCGCCCGCGGCGCGCGUGGUUCUGGGAGUUGUAGUCCGCGAGUCGGCAGCUGGGCUGUCCCUCAAGCCGAAGCGCCGCCAUAACGGAGCGGCCCUGGCCAGAGCGGAGCCCGGGCGCGACUUCAUCCCGGGACCCUGGAGGGUACUGAGGAGCUGCGAUUCUCCACCCUGGAAUCUGCCUGGGGCGCACUUCCCGGAUCGCCGGAGAGAAGGGGGUGACGGAGCUUGUAAAUGCCCAGUUGGGCUGCCGGUGGAAGAAGCGGCGGGAAGAUCGCUGGCAGGGCACGGCCCUCGUGAGUCGCCCUCCCUGCGUGUGUACAUCUCUCCUUCCUGAUUAUAAAACCCACACACGUGCACAUGAAAGUUCUCCAAAGGAUCAAGAAGGAAAAAAUCACGUGGACUACUCCUCCACUUUCACUUGUCAUAAGCAUUUCUCAUGUCAUUAAAAAUCCUUCCUAAAUGUUUUUGUUCCUUUUUUUUUUCUUCAUGAUGAAGGUCAAACAUGAUCAAAAUACCAUUUGGGGGAGAUUAAGAGAAGUAUUAAGAAUGUAGCAUUUGGCUGGCCGCCUUUGGGGCUCUCCCGGCGUCCCUUUUUGGGACCCUCAUAUGUCAUUUGCAUCCCACUUUACCCUGUACCUCAUACCAUCUGUCACGUCUGCCCGCCUUGAGCAUGUUAUGUUAUCGUGCAUUUUACAGUCAUAAGUUCUCCACGAUGUGAUGGGAGGGUAGUUGAUCUCGCCAGGCUUGACUGUUGGGCACUUCUGUUGUGAUUCUUGGUGCCUAAAUCUUUGUCCCAAUUUCAGAUAGAUUGC